rnacentral:lncRNA from 1 species
GGUAGGAUGGGAAAACCCAUGACAAACAUGGGCUUUGAAUAUAGAUCUUAGACCUCCUUCUGAACAUUCCCAUCGUCUAUCCAUGUUCCCUAGAACCCCCUGAGCUCCCUACUGUGACUGGGAUGGUGUUCUUCUGCUCUGGGCAAGCUUGUUGGGUCAGUUCCCCUGAGUGCCCAUGAGACAGUGCCCAGCCCAGCAGGUGUGUGCCUGAAGUACAUUUGUCAUCAGGAAAGGAAUUCCUCCACGCUCCAAAGGAAGUAUGAUUGUCAGAACAAGAGGAAGAGACAAGGGGAAUUGGCUCAUGACUCAUAAGUUCUUGGAAGCCAAAAAGUUUCAAUCUGGAGGCAGGCUAAUGGGCUGGAUACUCAAGCAAGAGAUGAUAAAAUACAGCUGACCCAGUGGUUCAGAGCAUAUGCUGGUCUCUCAGGGAACCCAGGUUUGUUUGCCAGGGUCCAGCACAUACCCAUACAGUUAUACACAUAUACACACAAUUUGAAACUUUU